CGGGGAUAGGCAGACUCCCCGUGAGACGGUGCCUGUCCAAGCUCUGC
rnacentral:ncRNA from 1 species